GAACGCUAGCGGCAGGCCUAAUACAUGCAAGUCGAACGGCAACACGGGUAGCAAUACCUGGUGGCGAGUGGCGCACGGGUGCGUAACGCGUAUGCAACCUACCCUUAACUGAGACAUAACCUGGCGAAAGCUGGGCUAAUAUCUCAUGAGGUUUAUGGGAGGCAUCUUCUAUAAAUCAAAGUCUGGAAAGAUGGUUAAGGAUGGGCAUGCGUCCCAUUAGCUAGUUGGUGAGGUAAAGGCCCACCAGGGCGACGAUGGGUAGGGGUUCUGAGAGGAAGGUCCCCCACACUGGUACUGAGACACGGACCAGGCUCCUACGGGAGGCAGCAGUAAGGAAUAUUGGGCAAUGGUCGGAAGACUGACCCAGCCAUGCCGCGUGCAGGAAGAAGGCCCUAUGGGUUGUAAACUGCUUUAGCCAGGGGCUAAACCUACCGAUGCGUUGGUAGCUGAAGGUACCUGGAGAAUAAGCAUCGGCUAACUCCGUGCCAGCAGCCGCGGUAAUACGGAGGAUGCGAGCGUUAUCCGGAUUUACUGGGUUUAAAGGGUGCGCAGGCGGUUGUUUAAGUCAGGGGUGAAAUUCCGGGGCUCAACCCUGGGACUGCCUUUGAUACUGAACAGCUAGAGUGAAGAUGGAGUGGGUGGAAUGUGUUGUGUAGCGGUGAAAUGCAUAGAUAUAACACAGAACACCGAUCGCGAAGGCAGCUCACUAAACUUCAACUGACGCUCAUGCAC
rnacentral:rRNA from 1 species